rnacentral:ncRNA from 2 species
ACGUAUCCAGAGUGCAGCGAGAGAACUAGCUCAAUGACCUGCCGGCAACCAGUCUUAUCAUCUCCCAAAGAAUGAGGACACGGUGCCCCUUCUAGCCCUGAAGAACUUCGGGGGAAGAUAACAG